GUGCCAGGAGCACGAGGGCAGGGGAGUGAAGGUGGGGGUGGGGUGGGGGUGGAGUGGGGGUGUGUGGGGGGGGUUUGUCUGUGUGGUGUGUGUGUAUGUGGUAUGUGUGAUGUGUGUCUGUGUGUGGUGUGUGUCUGUGUAUAAUGUGUGUGUGCUGUGCGUGUGUGGUGUGUGUGUGUGGUAUGUGUGUGGUGUGUGUGUGUAUGGUGUGUGUUUGGGUAUGGUGUGUGUCUAUGGUGUGUGUGUGGUGUUUGUAUGGUAUGUGUGGUGUGUGUGUGUGUAUGGUGUGUGCGUGUGCGGUGUGUGCGUGGUGUGUGUGUGUGGUGUUUUGUGUGUCUAUGGGGUGUGUGCGUUGUGUGUGUGGUGUUUGUGUGGUGUGUGGUUGUGUGUGGCGUGUGUUUCUGUGGUGUGUGUGUGGUGUGUGUGUGGUGUGUGUGCUGUGUGUGUGUGGUGUGUGAGUGGUGUCUGCAUGGUGUGUGUGUGUCGUGUGUGUCUGUGUAUGGUGUGUCUGUGGUGUGUGUAUGGUGUGUGUGUAGUGUUUCUGUGGUGUGUGUGUGUGUGUUGUGUGUAUGGUGUGUCUGGUGUGUGUGUUGUGUGUGUGGUGGGUGUGGUGUGUGUGUGUGGUGUUUGUGUGAUGUGUGGGUGGUGUCUGCAUGGUGUGUGUCUGUGUGGUGUGUGUGUGUGUGUGUGUGGUAUUUGUGUGGUGUGUGUGUAGUGUGUGUGUGGUGUGUGGUGUGUGUGUCGUGUGUGUCUGUGUAUGGUGUGUCUAUGGUGUGUGUAUGGUGUGUGUGUAGUGUUUGUGUGGUGUGUGGUUGUGUGUGGCAUGUGUUUCUGUGGUGUGUGUGUGUGUGUGUGUAUGGUGUGUCUGGUGUGUGUGGUGUGUGUGUGUGGUGUGUGUGUGAUGUGUGGGUGGUGUCUGCAUGGUGUGUGUCUAUGUGUGGUGUGUGUGGUAUGUGUGGUGUGUGUCUGUAUGGGGUGUGUGUGUGUGUGUGUGUGUGGUAUUUGUGUGGUGUGUGUGUGGUGUGUGGUGUGUGUCAUGUGUGUCUGUGUAUGGUGUGCGUGUGGUGUGUGGUGUGUGUAUGUCCUGUAUGUGUGUUGCCGCGCCCUCUGGGCAGCGAGCCCCCCUCUCACGGCUGGGCACUGGGGAGGGGCUGUCCCGGCACCGCAGCCCCAGCUGUGUCAUCACUGGGGCACAGGACAGGCGCGGUGGCUCCUGGCAGGGCCCAGCGCACCCAAGGGCGCCAGGGGA
rnacentral:lncRNA from 1 species